rnacentral:rRNA from 1 species
AAUAUUGUACAAUGGGGGCAACCCUGAUCCAGCCAUGCCGCGUGUGUGAAGAAGGUCCUCGGAUUGUAAUCCACUUUAAGUUGGGAGGAAGGGCUUUAGGUUAAUACCCUGAAGUUUUGACGUUACCGACAUAAUAAGCACCGGCUACCUCUGUGCCAGCAUCCGCGGUAAUUCAGAGGGUGCAAGCGUUAAUCGGAAUUACUGGGCGUAAAGCGCGCGUAGGUGGUUCAGUAAGAUGGGUGUGAAAUCCCCGGGCUUAACCUGGGAACUGCUUUCAUAACUGCUGAGCUAGAGUACGGUAGAGGGUAGUGGAAUUUCCUGUGUAGCGGCGAAAUGCGUAGAUAUAGGAAGGAACACCAGUGGCGAAGGCGACUACCUGGACUGAUACUGACACUGAGGUGCGAAAGCGUGGGGAGCAAAC